UCCACUCCUUCCGUUCUUACCUUUCACAAUAAAAGCCCUGGACAUACAAUAUUAUCAAGCGAAUAUUUAGUAUUUUGUAGUUUAUUCGUCACAGCCCCAGUGUGUAACAGCCUUAAGACGUGAACCUGUGUUCAAAAACAUCUUAAUUGAAAAAAUAAUCACUAUGUCAGCUCGGUGGCCUGAGGCAC